UAAGGAAUAUUGGUCAAUGAGGGCAACCUUGAACCAGCCAUGCCGCGUGCAGGACGACUGCCCUAUGGGUUGUAAACUGCUUUUAUACGGGAAUAACCCACUCUACGUGUAGGGUGUUGAAUGUACCGUAAGAAUAAGGAUCGGCUAACUCCGUGCCAGCAGCCGCGGUAAUACGGAGGAUCCAAGCGUUAUCCGGAUUUAUUGGGUUUAAAGGGUGCGUAGGCGGCCAAAUAAGUCAGAGGUGAAAGACGGUAGCUUAACUAUCGCAGUGCCUUUGAAACUGUGUGGCUUGAAUGUACUUGAGGUGGGCGGAAUGUGACAAGUAGCGGUGAAAUGCAUAGAUAUGUCACAGAACCCCGAUUGCGAAGGCAGCUCACUAAGGUAUGAUUGACGCUGAUGCACGAAAGCGUGGGGAUCAAACAGG
rnacentral:rRNA from 2 species